rnacentral:tRNA from 1 species
UAGCUCAGUGGCACAGCGUCUGCCUGGGAAGCAUAAGGUCCUGAGUUUGAUUCCCAG